GGGCGUUUGGUCUAGGGGUAUGAUUUCCCCUUCGCAUGGGGAAGGUCAUGGGUUCAAUUCCCAUAAUGUCCA
rnacentral:tRNA from 1 species